rnacentral:rRNA from 1 species
UACGAAGGGGGCUAGCGUUGCUCGGAAUUACUGGGCGUAAAGCGCACGUAGGCGGCUUUCUAAGUCGGGGGUGAAAUCCUGGAGCUCAACUCCAGAACUGCCUUCGAUACUGGAGAGCUCGAGUCCGGGAGAGGUGAGUGGAACUGCGAGUGUAGAGGUGAAAUUCGUAGAUAUUCGCAAGAACACCAGUGGCGGAGGCGGCUCACUGGCCCGGUACUGACGCUGAGGUGCGAAAGCGUGGGGAGCAAACAGG